rnacentral:rRNA from 1 species
AUUGAACGCUGGCGGCAUGCCUUACACAUGCAAGUCGAACGGCAGCACGGGUGCUUGCACCUGGUGGCGAGUGGCGAACGGGUGAGUAAUACAUCGGAACAUGUCCUGUAGUGGGGGAUAGCCCGGCGAAAGCCGGAUUAAUACCGCAUACGAUCUACGGAUGAAAGCGGGGGACCUUCGGGCCUCGCGCUAUAGGGUUGGCCGAUGGCUGAUUAGCUAGUUGGUGGGGUAAAGGCCUACCAAGGCGACGAUCAGUAGCUGGUCUGAGAGGACGACCAGCCACACUGGGACUGAGACACGGCCCAGACUCCUACGGGAGGCAGCAGUGGGGAAUUUUGGACAAUGGGCGAAAGCCUGAUCCAGCAAUGCCGCGUGUGUGAAGAAGGCCUUCGGGUCGUAAAGCACUUUUGUCCGGAAAGAAAUCCUUGGCCCUAAUACGGUCGGGGGAUGACGGUACCGGAAGAAUAAGCACCGGCUAACUACGUG